rnacentral:rRNA from 1 species
UACGGAGGGGGCGAGCGUUAUUCGGAAUUAUUGGGCGUAAAGGGCGCGUAGGCGGCUGUACAAGUCAAAGGUGAAAUCCCUCGGCUCAACUGAGGAACUGCCUUUGAAACUGUACGCUUGAGGCCGGGAGGGGGUAGCGGAAUUCCCAAUGUAGCGGUGAAAUGCGUAGAUAUUGGGAGGAACACCAGUGGCGAAGGCGGCUACCUGGACCGGUUCUGACGCUGAGGCGCGAAAAGCGUGGGUAGCAAACAGG